rnacentral:rRNA from 1 species
AAGCGGUGGAGCAUGUGGUUUAAUUCGAUGCAACGCGAAGAACCUUACCUGGUCUUGACAUCCACAGAACUUAGCAGAGAUGCUUUGGUGCCUUCGGGAACUGUGAGACAGGUGCUGCAUGGCUGUCGUCAGCUCGUGUUGUGAAAUGUUGGGUUAAGUCCCGCAACGAGCGCAACCCUUAUCCUUUGUUGCCAGCGGUUAGGCCGGGAACUCAAAGGAGACUGCCAGUGAUAAACUGGAGGAAGGUGGGGAUGACGUCAAGUCAUCAUGGCCCUUACGACCAGGGCCACACACGUGCUACAAUGGCUCAUCACAAAGAGAAGC